CCUACGGGAGGCAGCAGUGGGGAAUAUUGGACAAUGGGCGAAAGCCUGAUCCAGCAAUGCCGCGUGAGUGAUGAAGGCCUUAGGGUUGUAAAGCUCUUUUACCCGGGAUGAUAAUGACAGUACCGGGAGAAUAAGCUCCGGCUAACUCCGUGCCAGCAGCCGCGGUAAUACGGAGGGAGCUAGCGUUAUUCGGAAUUACUGGGCGUAAAGCGCACGUAGGCGGCUUUGUAAGUAAGAGGUGAAAGCCUGGUGCUCAACACCAGAACUGCCUUUUAGACUGCAUCGCUUGAAUCCAGGAGAGGUGAGUGGAAUUCCGAGUGUAGAGGUGAAAUUCGUAGAUAUUCGGAAGAACACCAGUGGCGAAGGCGGCUCACUGGACUGGUAUUGACGCUGAGGUGCGAAAGCGUGGGGAGCAAACGAGGUAUAGAUACCCGUGGUACGUCCACGCCGUAAACGAUGAUAACUAGCUGGUCGGGUCUCUUAGUAGUCGUCGGUGGUCGCGAGCUACGACAUUAAGUUAGUCCGUCCGUCGGGUAGGUACGGCCGCGAACGUUAAACGUUAAACGUUAGUAAGUUAGACGGCGUGAGACGUGCCGACGACGACGACGAGGGAGUAGG
rnacentral:rRNA from 1 species